GUCGAUUUUGCAAAACAAUACAAAUUAUUUCCCGCUCAGUCUGAAUUAUUGUGUGCUUUGCUGGAAAACAAAAAAGACGGUUUAUUACAAGAUAUAAUAAAAGUUGUUGAAUCCAUAGAUUCUAAUUUGGCACAAAUAAAUCUUUUGGAAGCUUUAGCAAAAAAUGGAAAACAUAAUACAUUAAAGAAAACGAUUCUGGAUUUUAACGGAUUACCAAGGAACAAGUUACAGACUCUUUGCAAUAAUUGGUCGAAAAAUGGACAAUUAUGUGAACUAGAGACGUUAGCAAAAGCUGUUAGAAAAAUCCCAAGUCAUACAAUUGAAAAAUCUGUCAUAUAUCAUGCUAUAAUGAAAAUAUACAGUAACAAUAAUGAUUGUGAGUCAGCCGUGGCCUUUUGGUCAAGUUUAGAAACUGAAGACGAUUUUGGCAGAACUUCACUAGACAGCCAGCUAGUUUCAUUACUUAAACGAUGUAAAUAUGACCUUCCAGAUAGAUUAAAAUCAAAAGUGGCUGCUACAACCUAAAACAAGGUAUUAUUUAGUAAAUAUUUCAUUACGGGUACUCAGUGGAGUAUUGUUUAAACAAUUCCUAUAUCCAGGUCCUUUUUAAAGUAAAAUGUUUGAAAUGACAAUUUUUGAAGUUAUUUUGGACAUUUGUCUUGUUUGUUUUCGAUCGGUCCUGGUAAAAAAUAGAUUAAUAAAUUAACGGGAGAAUGUAGUGAAUAAUUUAUAAGGUUGUAUACAGGGAGAUUACAAAACACAGUAGAUACUCGGUUAUAUAACUGAAAAAAAAUAUCGAUUUGUUCACAUUAACGAAUGUUACAUUUAGUAUACAUACUAAAAGAAAUCAGAAAUUUUUGUUUUAAAAUGUAAAAUUUAUACGGGAAUAAGACGGUACAUCUCUGGCAAAUACGAUUAGAGAAGUAUAAUUUGGCAUAAUUAAUGUGCUGUUCACAUUAUGUGGAGUUUUAGUUAUGCAAUGUUCACACUAGCGAGUGUCAACUGCAAUUUAUAAAGAGCAACUUCUAAUUCUAAUCCCAGUACAAAACAGAAAUAUAAAACAUGUAUUUAUUUUGAGGAUUAAUUUUUUCGGUAUUUUAAUUUAAUUUUUUAAUUAACGCUCCAAUAUCUCUCAGGUUUUUGCUAUACAAAAAGUAAUAUAGUUUACGUAGUCGUGUAUA